AUGAUUUUUUUGUUAAAAGAAGUCACACUUUCAUUUAUUUCAUUAAUACAUUUCUAAUAACGACAAAUUUUAAUUAAAAAUAACAAGGAAAAGAAGCCCCUUCCUUCGCGCCCCCGUCUUAGCCAUCUUCUUCAUCAUCCUUCUUUAUCUGUAUUUUUUUUUCUUUUUAAAUUCUUAACAAUCUUGUUAAUAUAAAUUCAAUUU
rnacentral:lncRNA from 1 species